AUAUUUUGGCACCAGCGCCGGGCCACCUUGGGCAUGAACUCUUCAGAUGGUCCCACAGUCCCCAGAGGAAUUUCCAUGCCACAGUCACCCUAACACACCCAGAACCUUAAGAUCACUGAGGAGAAUUGGCCUUCAGAGAGGGCUCUGAGCCCAGGACUCAGGUUCUAUGCCCUGCUAAUCUUGACCAGAGAAGUUUCUGUUUGCAGAGUGCAGCAGUCAACACAGAGACUCACAGUAGAUCAAAUUGUUGAAAACGAAUGACAGGGGAUAGAGCUUGAUGAUGAUGGAAUACACCCUAAAGAAAUUCUCGACCACUUAUCUAUAUUCCAAAUAUGAUAGCCUGAAAGAAACAAUGGAGGCAAAUUGAAGAAUCUACUAACAAGAACAUGCUCAACACCAGAAGUCAUGUAGUCUCCAUGGUAGUGUGAGCAGUGAGACUUCAUAGGUCAAGCCAGGAGGAAUCAGAGUGAGGGAGACUUUUACUAAACCCAAGGGAGUGCAUUUUAAU
rnacentral:lncRNA from 1 species